AUUGAACGCUGGCGGCAGGCCUAACACAUGCAAGUCGAGCGGAUGACGGGAGCUUGCUCCUUGAUUCAGCGGCGGACGGGUGAGUAAUGCCUAGGAAUCUGCCUGGUAGUGGGGGACAACGUUUCGAAAGGAACGCUAAUACCGCAUACGUCCUACGGGAGAAAGCAGGGGACCUUCGGGCCUUGCGCUAUCAGAUGAGCCUAGGUCGGAUUAGCUAGUAGGUGAGGUAAUGGCUCACCUAGGCGACGAUCCGUAACUGGUCUGAGAGGAUGAUCAGUCACACUGGAACGGAGACACGGGCCAGACUUCUACGGGAGGCAGCAGUGGGGAAUAUUGGACAAUGGGCGAAAGCCUGAUCCAGCCAUGCCGCGUGUGUGAAGAAGGUCUUCGGAUUGUAAAGCACUUUAAGUUGGGAGGAAGGGCAGUAAGUUAAUACCUUGCUGUUUUGACGUUACCGACAGAAUAAGCACCGGCUAACUCUGUGCCAGCCGCCGCCGUAA
rnacentral:rRNA from 1 species